UGAGUAAUUUUAGAAUAUUAGUGAAUAAAAAUCAAAGGGAGUAUGGAGCAUUUUGAUCACAACUAGGGCUGGCAAAAACUGACCCGACCCGAAAACCCGACCCGAACCCGAUCCGAAAAAAGCGGGUUAGGGUUGAGGUUUCCGACCCGAAAACUUAAAUGGGUCGACACGAACCCGAACCUGAAAUUAAAUGGGUUAGCUUAAGGUUGAAAAUCUCAACCCGAAAACGACCCACUUAACCCGAAAUAAAUUUCAGGUCAAAAUCAGGUCGGGUCAACCCGAACCCGACCUGAUAACCCGAACUAAUUUAAGUAAGAAAAAGAAAAAAAACGUAAAAAGCUUAUUAAGCCCAGCCCAAAUUCACAAAGAGGCUUCCAUAUAUAAAUUCAAUACCCUAAAUGAACUCAUUUCCCCUCAUUGAUCUUCAGCCGUUUUUCCCCUCAAUUCUCUCUCUUUAAUUUUCUCUCUCCUCAAAAACUCAUUGUUGAAUUCGACAGAGGUAGUUCCGUUAAGCCCAACUUUACCAUUGUCAUUUCCUUGACGGCUUGAAUCCUUCACUCCUCCACGAAUUCCUCUCCUUCAUCAAAGGUUUGGCAGCAAGAAGUAGCCCACCCAUGUUCAAUUCGAAAUGUUGUGGAUCAAUUUUGAAGCUUGAGGUGGUGAACAAGGAUGACAGCCAUGACAAAUUGACAGUCCCAACAUCGCCCGAUCUUAAUACAAAUGAAAAUCUUAUUGCAUCUUCUAUUAUUUUUUGAAAACUGUAAUUUGUGUUAUUAAAACUUUAUCUUUGGUUUGUAAUUAGUGAAUUACAAUUUUUAUUGGUUUAUUAUCGUUAAGUAGGAUUGUUACUUUGUUAGACUAA